rnacentral:rRNA from 1 species
AUUGAACGCUGGCGGCAGGCCUAACACAUGCAAGUCGAACGAGUGGCGGACGGGUGAGUAAUGUCUGGGAAACUGCCCGAUGGAGGGGGAUAACUACUGGAAACGGUAGCUAAUACCGCAUACCAUGAGAUGUGCCCAGAUGGGAUUAGCUAGUGGGUGGGGUAAGGUCUCAACUGGGCGACGAUCCCGCGCUCGUCUGAGAGGAUGAGCAGCCAGACUGGAACUGAGACACGGUCCAGACUCCUACGGGCGGCAGCAGUGGUGAAUAUGGCACAAUGGGCGCAAGCCUGAUGCAGCCAGGCCGAGUGUGUGAAGAAGGCCUUCGGUGUGUAAAGCACUUUCAUCGGGGAGGCGUUACCCGCAGAAGAAGCACCGGCUAACUCCGUGCCAGCAGCCGCGGUAAUAC